rnacentral:rRNA from 1 species
GGUUAAGUGACUAAGCGUAUACGGUGGAUGCCUUGGCAGUUAGAGGCGAUGAAGGACGUGUAAGUCUGCGAAAAGCUGUGGUGAGCCGACAAAAUGCAUUUGAGCCACAGAUGUCCGAAUGGGGAAACCCACCUAUUUAUAGGUAUCGUUACAUGAAUAUAUAGUGUAACGAGGCGAACGAGGGGAACUGAAACAUCUAAGUACCCUUAGGAAAAGAAAUCAACCGAGAUUCCCCUAGUAGCGGCGAGCGAACGGGGAUUAGCCCUUAAGCAAUUAUGAACGUAGUGGAAGCCUCUGGGAAGUGGCGCGAUACAAGGUGAUAGCCCUGUACACGAAGUGUUUGUUUUUGUGAAAUCGAGUAGGUCGGGACACGUGUUAUCUUGACUGAAUAUGGGGGGACCAUCCUCCAAGGCUAAAUACUCCUAACUGACCGAUAGUGAACCAGUACCGUGAGGGAAAGGCGAAAAGAACCCCUGUGAGGGGAGUGAAAUAGAACCUGAAACCGUAUACGUACAAGCAGUGGGAGCAGACUUGUUCUGUGACUGCGUACCUUUUGUAUAAUGGGUCAGCGACUUAUAUUUAGUAGCAAGGUUAAGCGAAUAGCGGAGCCGUAGCGAAAGCGAGUGUUAACUGCGCGUUUAGUUGCUAGGUAUAGACCCGAAACCCGGUGAUCUAGCCAUGGGCAGGUUGAAGGUUGAGUAACAUCAACUGGAGGACCGAACCCACUAACGUUGAAAAGUUAGGGGAUGACUUGUGGCUGGGGGUGAAAGGCCAAUCAAACCGGGAGAUAGCUGGUUCUCCCCGAAAUCUAUUUAGGUAGAGCCUCGGACGAAUUCCAUUGGGGGUAGAGCACUGUUAAGGCUAGGGGGUCAUCCCGACUUACCAACCCUUUGCAAACUCCGAAUACCAAUGAGAACUAUCCGGGAGACACACGGCGGGUGCUAACGUCCGUCGUGAAGAGGGAAACAACCCAGACCGCCAGCUAAGGUCCCAAAAUAUUGCUAAGUGGGAAACGAUGUGGGAAGGCAUAGACAGCUAGGAGGUUGGCUUAGAAGCAGCCACCCUUUAAAGAAAGCGUAAUAGCUCACUAGUCGAGUCGGCCUGCGCGGAAGAUGUAACGGGGCUAAGCAAUAUACCGAAGCUGCGGAUACGUGUUUACACGUAUGGUAGGGGAGCGUUGUGUAAGUGGAUGAAGGUGAAUCGAGAGGUUUGCUGGACAUAUCACAAGUGCGAAUGCUGACAUGAGUAACGAUAAUGGGAGUGAAAAACUCCCACGCCGGAAGACCAAGGUUUCCUGUCCCAUGCUAAUCAGGGCAGGGUAAGUCGGCCCCUAAGGCGAGGCAGAAAUGCGUAGUCGAUGGGAAACGGAUUAAUAUUUCCGUACUUAUAUAAUCAGUGAUGGAGGGACGGAGAAGGCUAAGCAAGCUUGGCGUUGGUUGUCCAAGUGAAAGCAAGUAGGCCGAGAAUUUAGGUAAAUCCGGAUUCUUAAAGCUGAGAUGCGAGACGAGCUACUACGGUAGUGAAGUUGUUGAUGCCCUGCUUCCAGGAAAAGCUUCUAAACUUAUGAUUAUAUGAACCGUACCCCAAACCGACACAGGUGGUCAGGUAGAGAAUACUAAGGCGCUUGAGAGAACUCGGGUGAAGGAACUCGGCAAAAUUGUACCGUAACUUCGGGAGAAGGUACGCCCUUGUUUGUGAUAGGACUUGCUCCUUGAGCAGAUGAGGGCCGCAGUGACCAGGUGGCUGGGACUGUUUAUUAAAAACACAGCACUCUGCUAACUCGCAAGAGGACGUAUAGGGUGUGACACCUGCCCGGUGCCGGAAGGUUAAUUGAUGGGGUUAUCUUCGGAGAAGCUCUUGAUCGAAGCCCCGGUAAACGGCGGCCGUAACUAUAACGGUCCUAAGGUAGCGAAAUUCCUUGUCGGGUAAGUUCCGACCUGCACGAAUGGUGUAACCAUGGCCACGCUGUCUCCACCCGAGACUCAGUGAAAUUGAAAUCGCAGUGAAGAUGCUGUGUACCCGCACCUAGACGGAAAGACCCCGUGAACCUUUACUACAGCUUGGCACUGAACAUUGAACCUACAUGUGUAGGAUAGGUGGGAGGCUUCGAAGCACAGUCGCUAGAUUGUGUGGAGCCGUCCUUGAAAUACCACCCUUGUAUGUUUGAUGUUCUAACAUUGGUCCCUUAUCGGGAUUAUGGACAGUGUCUGGUGGGUAGUUUGACUGGGGCGGUCUCCUCCCAAAUAGUAACGGAGGAGCACGAAGGUUAGCUAAUCACGGUCGGACAUCGUGAGGUUAGUGCAAUGGCAUAAGCUAGCUUAACUGCGAGACAGACACGUCGAGCAGGUACGAAAGUAGGUCAUAGUGAUCCGGUGGUUCUGUAUGGAAGGGCCAUCGCUCAACGGAUAAAAGGUACUCCGGGGAUAACAGGCUGAUACCGCCCAAGAGUUCAUAUCGACGGCGGUGUUUGGCACCUCGAUGUCGGCUCAUCACAUCCUGGGGCUGAAGUCGGUCCCAAGGGUAUGGCUGUUCGCCAUUUAAAGUGGUACGCGAGCUGGGUUUAGAACGUCGUGAGACAGUUCGGUCCCUAUCUGGUGUGGGCGUUGGAUGAUUGAUGGGAGCUGCUCCUAGUACGAGAGGACCGGAGUGGACGAACCGCUGGUGUUCGGGUUGUCAUGCCAAUGGCAUUGCCCGGUAGCUACGUUCGGAACGGAUAACCGCUGAAAGCAUCUAAGCGGGAAGCCGGCCCAAAGAUGAGUCAUCCCUGACUUUUAAAGUCCGGAAGGGUUGUUAUAGACGAUGACGUUGAUAGGCAGGAUGUGGAAGCGUUGUAAGGCGUUAAGCUAACCUGUACUAAUUGCCCGAGAGGCUUAACCAU